rnacentral:rRNA from 1 species
CCUGAGAAACCCAAAAGAUCGAAUGGGGAGAUUCAUCGCCAGCGGCGUUUGCUUCCGUGUGGUUUCGCGAUGUCGCGGGAUUUCGGUUCCGCGACACGCUGCCGCUGCGGCAUGUCAGGCUGUCGUCGGUGUGCACUUCUCCCCUAGUAGGACGUCGCGACCCGUUGGGUGUAGGCCUACGGCCCGUACGGUCGACUGUCGCGUCGCGUUCACGCGCGCUCACGUGGCAGACCUACGGUGUUCCCGGCCUACUGCCCGGCGGUAUGGAACGCUUCAAUUGGUAUCGAGCCGCACACUGCGUGCGUUCUGGCUCCUCGGCAGGCUCGUCCCGCUCGGAUUUACGGACCUAGCGCCGUUGCCGGGUGCUCGAUGUGGCCGUUAAGCCGAGGAUGUCCUCGAACGGGCUCUCUCGAAAGGAUACCGGUCGGCGACGCUACUGCUUUGGGUACUUUCAGGACCCGUCUUGAAACACGGACCAAGGAGUCUAACAUGUGCGCGAGUCAUUGGGAUUUUUUCAAACGAAACCUAAAGGCGCAAUGAAAGUGAAGAUCGUCCUUAGCGUCGAUCGAGGGAGGAUGGCUCGCGUCACGAUGCGAGCCCGCACUCCCGGGGCGUCUCGUGCUCAUUGCGAGCAGAGGCGCACCCAGAGCGUACACGUUGGGACCCGAA